UACGUAGGGUGCAAGCGUUGUCCGGAAUCAUUGGGCGUAAAGAGCGUGUAGGCGGCUCGAUUAGUCCGCUGUAAAAGUCCAGGGCUCAACCCUGGGAUGCCGGUGGAAACUGUCGGGCUAGAGUCCGGGAGAGGCGAGUGGAAUUCCUGGUGUAGCGGUGAAAUGCGCAGAUAUCAGGAGGAACACCAAUGGCGAAGGCAGCUCGCUGGAACGGUACUGACGCUGAGACACGAAAGCGUGGGUAGCAAACAGG
rnacentral:rRNA from 1 species